GAUGAACGCUGGCGGCGUGCCUAAUACAUGCAAGUCGAGCGAACCAUUUCGGUGGUGAGCGGCGAACGGGUGAGUAACACGUAGGUGAUCUGCCCAUCAGACGGGGACAACGAUUGGAAACGAUCGCUAAUACCGGAUAGGACGGAAGUUUAAAGGUGCUUCUGGCACCGCUGAUGGGUGAGCCUGCGGCGCAUUAGCUAGUUGGGAGGGUAAAGGCCUACCGAGGCGACGAUGCGUAGCCGACCUGAGAGGGUGAACGGCCACACUGGGACUGAGACACGGCCCAGACUCCUACGGGAGGCAGCAGUAGGGAAUCUUCGGCAAUGGGCGAAAGCCUGACCGAGCAACGCCGCGUGAAUGAUGAAGGCCUUCGGGUUGUAAAAUUCUGUUAUAAGGGAAGAACGACUUUAGUAGGAAAUGGCUAGAGUGUGACGGUACCUUAUGAGAAAGCCACGGCUAACUACGUGCCAGCCGCCGCAGUAA
rnacentral:rRNA from 1 species